rnacentral:rRNA from 1 species
GACGAACGCUGGCGGCGUGCCUAAUACAUGCAAGUCGAACGAACUCUGGUAUUGAUUGGUGCUUGCAUCAUGAUUUACAUUUGAGUGAGUGGCGAACUGGUGAGUAACACGUGGGAAACCUGCCCAGAAGCGGGGGAUAACACCUGGAAACAGAUGCUAAUACCGCAUAACAACUUGGACCGCAUGGUCCGAGUUUGAAAGAUGGCUUCGGCUAUCACUUUUGGAUGGUCCCGCGGCGUAUUAGCUAGAUGGUGGGGUAACGGCUCACCAUGGCAAUGAUACGUAGCCGACCUGAGAGGGUAAUCGGCCACAUUGGGACUGAGACACGGCCCAAACUCCUACGGGAGGCAGCAGUAGGGAAUCUUCCACAAUGGACGAAAGUCUGAUGGAGCAACGCCGCGUGAGUGAAGAAGGGUUUCGGCUCGUAAAACUCUGUUGUUAAAGAAGAACAUAUCUGAGAGUAACUGUUCAGGUAUUGACGGUAUUUAACCAGAAAGCCACGGCUAACUACGUGCCAGCAGCCGCGGUAAUACGUAGGUGGCAAGCGUUGUCCGGAUUUAUUGGGCGUAAAGCGAGCGCAGGCGGUUUUUUAAGUCUGAUGUGAAAGCCUUCGGCUCAACCGAAGAAGUGCAUCGGAAACUGGGAAACUUGAGUGCAGAAGAGGACAGUGGAACUCCAUGUGUAGCGGUGAAAUGCGUAGAUAUAUGGAAGAACACCAGUGGCGAAGGCGGCUGUCUGGUCUGUAACUGACGCUGAGGCUCGAAAGUAUGGGUAGCAAACAGGAUUAGAUACCCUGGUAGUCCAUACCGUAAACGAUGAAUGCUAAGUGUUGGAGGGUUUCCGCCCUUCAGUGCUGCAGCUAACGCAUUAAGCAUUCCGCCUGGGGAGUACGGCCGCAAGGCUGAAACUCAAAGGAAUUGACGGGGGCCCGCACAAGCGGUGGAGCAUGUGGUUUAAUUCGAAGCUACGCGAAGAACCUUACCAGGUCUUGACAUACUAUGCAAAUCUAAGAGAUUAGACGUUCCCUUCGGGGACAUGGAUACAGGUGGUGCAUGGUUGUCGUCAGCUCGUGUCGUGAGAUGUUGGGUUAAGUCCCGCAACGAGCGCAACCCUUAUUAUCAGUUGCCAGCAUUAAGUUGGGCACUCUGGUGAGACUGCCGGUGACAAACCGGAGGAAGGUGGGGAUGACGUCAAAUCAUCAUGCCCCUUAUGACCUGGGCUACACACGUGCUACAAUGGAUGGUACAACGAGUUGCGAACUCGCGAGAGUAAGCUAAUCUCUUAAAGCCAUUCUCAGUUCGGAUUGUAGGCUGCAACUCGCCUACAUGAAGUCGGAAUCGCUAGUAAUCGCGGAUCAGCAUGCCGCGGUGAAUACGUUCCCGGGCCUUGUACACACCGCCCGUCACACCAUGAGAGUUUGUAACACCCAAAGUCGGUGGGGUAACCUUUUAGGAACCAGCCGCCUAAGGUGGGACAGAUGAUUAGGGUGAAGUCGUAACAAGGUAGCCGUAG